GUACCGUAUUUAUAUCACUGUGCUGGUGUUCCAGCCUGCAGAGCUGGGCACACUAACACGAAGGGAUGCUGGUGGGUGGGGAGGGAAACAGUAUAGUACACUUUAUUCUGCUUAGAAGUGUCUUUUUUCUUAUGUAGGCUUGACAACCUGUAGAGGAUCUCUGCAGAAUAUAAAAGAUACCUUGUUCAUCUGGGAAAGAACCCACAGAAAUCUACAGUUCUGCUGCCAAGACAUUAUUAUAGGACUGACAGAUACACGCCAAUGUCUGCAGCGGAGACUCAAGGGACAUCUGUACAUAUGUAAAUGACAAAUAGAGACAUGUUAACAGAAAUGCAUUCAUUUUCCUUGGAAUGUGCAUUGUUUUUAUUUCGCAGGAAAAAAAAAAAAAAAGCUUGAAGCUCCAUCUUAUGUGGAAAAUGAAUCCUGUUUGUUAGCGUUCGUGGAGUCCCGGCAUUCGUUUCACUUUCACUUCUGUAAUAUACUCUGAUCCUUCGUUUUGUUUUGUUUUAUCUACAUGUAAUAUUUAGCUUACGUGUACUAGUCUAUCACCUGUGUAUUUUUAGGGUGCUACAGAAAUAAUGAAGAAAAAUAAGGGGAUUACCAAAAAAAAAAAGUAAAUUGUAACCAAAUUCAUAACUUUGUACAAUUUUUGAUAUCGCGAUCAGAGGGGAAUUAAAAAAGAGAAAAAAAAAAGAAGUACAAUCUGACGUAACACGCAAAAACGGCCAUUGUCUUUGUUUGUACAUUGUAUGUACAGUACAAUGCAAUCAUUUCAUACUUUAAACUGGUCAGAAAAAAUAAUUGUGAUUUUUAGUCUUGCAAAACUGUAUGUAGUUAGAUGAUGUGACAACCUAAUAUUUAUCUAAUAAAUAUGUAUUCAGAUGAAACCUGUAUAUUAGGUGUUCAUGUGGUUAUUUUGUAUUUAAAGAUCAAAUUAUUUGACUAUUGCUAGACAUUUAUAUACUCUGUUGUAACACUGAGGUAUUC
ensembl:lncRNA